CAGCAUGCUAUCCUAAGGAUCUGGGCUCCUCUGUAGCCUCUGGUUCUCCAAAUGCGUGCAAGAACAUUGGAUGGUCUUUGACUGCUGAGGCACCUCUCUGCCACUAGCAGUCACUCUACUGUCCUACAAGU
ensembl:snoRNA